rnacentral:rRNA from 1 species
UGAUCGCCGUUGAAAGACGGUUUCCUCUUCGGAGGCACCUGCACAGGUGCUGCAUGGCUGUCGUCAGCUCGUGUCGUGAGAUGUUGGGUUAAGUCCCGCAACGAGCGCAACCCUUAUCCCUAGUUGCCAUCAGGUAAAGCUGGGAACUCUGGGGAGACUGCCGGUGAUAAACCGGAGGAAGGCGGGGAUGACGUCAAGUCCUCAUGGCCCUUACAUCCCGGGCUACACACGUGCUACAAUGGCAGGUACAGAGGGCUGCGAAGCCGCGAGGUGGAGCGAAUCCCAGAAAACCUGUCUCAGUCCGGAUUGAAGUCUGCAACUCGACUUCAUGAAGGCGGAAUCGCUAGUAACCGCGAAUCAGCAGGUCGCGGUGAAUACGUUCCCGGGCCUU